rnacentral:lncRNA from 1 species
UUUUUCAUCAUUUACACAUAUAUUCUUAAAUCGGGAAGAGGCAAUAAUAACUUCAAUAAGUUUCAAGGCAAGCAAUACUAGCAUGCACAAAUCAUGACAAGGUCGUACGGCCCGAUCCAACAGAAAUGUAAAAUGUGCACUGCCGAGGAUCGAACGGCGCGAACCAACGCUAAAACCAUGAAUCGACAUCCAGGCUAAGCUUUAUGAACAUUAGAAUUUCAAACUUCCACUUUCUAUGUUUAGACCCAACAAAACACGUCUGAUUGACUUCUAAUUUUUCACAUAAGUUAUAUUCAACAUUUCGGACUUACUCCAACUUUUAAAAAUGGAUUUCGACCCCGAUAUCAAAAAGUCCACUUCCGGUCAAACUUUUCAAAAAUCUUCAAAUUUCUAUCUUUAGCCAAUGGAUCCAAAAUGAUCCACGGGCCUGCAAAUUCACUUCCGAUCGCGCUCCCAACACCAUAAUCACCAUACGGAGCUCCCGGACUGGAAAUCCCAAACGGACAUUAAUAACACCGAAAUAUACUUCAACCCAAACAAUAGGCGCUAAAACGCUCCCCGCUCAUACAAAACCUGAUCCAGGCACAGGCCCAAGUCCAAAAUUAUCAUACGAAACUAUCGAAACCUUCAGAUCCUGUUUUCGAGGUCGAUUACUCUGAAAUCCAAUGUUAGUUAAUUCUUUCAACUUAAAGCUUCUGAAAUGAGAAUUCGCUUUCCAAAUCAACUUCGAACUACCCAAAAUGCAAUUCUGACUAUGCGCACAUGGAAUAAUACCUGAAGUGAUGCUGCUCGUGGCCUCAAACCGCUGAAUGAUAUACUAGAGCACAAAACGACCGAUCAGAUCGUUACUUGUACAAAGACGGGACUGAGUCACGUCAUACCCACCAUAUACAUACAGAUAUAUAUAUACACACACAAACGUAUCAUACCAAAAUUAAAAGCAUCUCCAGAUCAAGUGGAGCACGCCAACUCUCACUGAUCAGGUAUCCGAAGAAGGGGGACCAUUAGGUUGCCUACCUACACCUGCGGGCGUGAAAUGCAGGUCCUGUGAAAUAGGGCAUCUGAGUAUGUAAGACAUAAAAAUUAGUGCACAAAAGACAUAGAUGAAUCAUGAAAUAAAGAAACAUAUCUUUAAAUUUGAAUAACUUGUAAAUUCUGAAAUGUUUAUAAUAUCAUGCACGUGAGUAUAAAUAUCGUGCCCAUGCAUAAGUAUGGGUGUACAUAAUAUCAUCAAGUCACUGAAGGCAUCCCGUCAUAUCUUCUCCGCCACUGUGUUCAACAUCAUCAACAUAUACUAGAUGAUCAGGUAGUGGUGCGUAUAUAACGUUGUAGCCUUUUUCCUAUCCCAUAUACAUAUAUUUACAUAUCGAGUAUAUAAUGUCAUUUGGUCAUGUGUCAAUGCACAUGUGUAAAUGGGUGAAAUGCAUGAAAAAUACGUAAUAAUCUCAACCUUCCUCCCGGAUAAACUUUUUAAACAAUGUAUUAUUCUGAGACUCGUGAAUAGAAGAUAAUAAUAAUUCUCAUGGGGAAUCAAGAAUAUAGACACCCCUACUAUUUCUAUGAAUAUAGUAAUUUAUGAAAACUGUAUGUUUGUUCAUUUUUUUUGUAUAAUUUGAACUAUGCCAAAAAAAAAAAGGAUGACCUUAACAUACCCGUUCUUUGAACUAUUUAUAUGAAAUGAAGCUUCUGCUUGAACGAAAGAAUGAAGCUUCUGCUUCAUUGAAUUUGAACGAAAUUUUGCUUGGAUCCCUUGAAAUUUUGAAACAAAAUUGUUUCUGCUUCUAACGUCUUUGUAUAGUAUGAAAGUUAGCUUCUAAUUUCUAAAAUGUUUCUUGUUUUAGAUCUUGG